AUACGGAGGGAGCAAGCGUUAUUCGGAAUCACUGGGCGUAAAGGGCGCGCAGGCGGUUUGGUAAGUCAGAUGUGAAAGCCCACGGCUCAACCGUGGAAGUGCAUUUGAAACUGCCAGACUUGAGUACCAGAGGGGAAAGUGGAAUUCCCGGUGUAGAGGUGAAAUUCGUAGAUAUCGGGAGGAAUACCGGUGGCGAAGGCGACUUUCUGGCUGGAUACUGACGCUGAGGCGCGAAAGCGUGGGGAGCAAACAGGAUUAGAAACCCUAGUAGUCC
rnacentral:rRNA from 1 species